AGCCUCGCCGAUGCUUACGACGGACGGCUACAAAGCCACGACUAAGUUGCUGAUAGGCGCGGCCUGUAGCUGGAGCCACCAGUUUGGCUAUGGUAUUCGAUCCCGGGUGGUCAUGCUGGUUUUGCAGAUCGGUGGAUGGAUGGCCUGCGACUGGGACAAACUAUUAAGAAAGCUUGUGGAAAGUUGAAGCUAGUCGUGAUUGGGAAGUGACAAUUUGAACCAGAUGAUGCCAAGCCCAACAAUUGAGAUAAGUAAAGCAAGGGGAAGCAAAAGGAGAAAAAGGUGCUGAAGUAGAAGCAGAUAAUCUUGGAUAGGCAAGGAUGGGCAAGUUCCUGGAAUGAGCGCUGUCUGUCUGAACUGGCCUGCUUCUUGACUUCCUUCCACAAGGACAGAGCUAAGAAACUCCUAUCCUCGAUGAAUUUAACGCAAUGAAACAUGAAGUCUUACUGACCACAUGAAUGCAUACCUUUUCCCCAAUGCAUUUGUUACUUCAUUGGUAAAAUAAAUAUAUGCCAUGCCUUUGGUACAUACUUUGCCAUGUAAUUUGUAUUUAAUUCCUUUCUAGUAAAUUGGCUCACCUCUUAUUCUCCCUGAUGCCAAAUUGUAAUCAGCUAGUAGGUUGACUUCAUGACUAACAGCUUUGACAGUAGAAACACAGGUUAUUAAGAUGGCUUGUACUUUUGAUAUGGUUUUUAAUACAAUAUCUGCUAUACAUCUUACUAGUUUUUAAAAUGACUUGUAUGUUUUUGCUACUCGUUAUUUGAUUAAUGCUGUUAUUUUCACCAUAGUGGUAGUUCCUGUACUUUUAGUGAAGAUUGUAUUUUCCUAAAAAGUAUUUUACUUUGAACUCUGAACUCUGAACCUCAUGUGGCUGUGUGUGCUUUGCAGGUCAGUGAUUUCAUUCACACAACAAACAACCUUGUACUCCUGGUGGAAGAUUCUUGUCAUGGAGAGGAGCAUCUUUAACAAGAUGUCAUGGACCAUCACUGUUCACACUUCAUCAUGGUGUGCUUCGCCAAGGCCAACGGUAUAAACAUGGUUUAGGUCAGCUUUUAUUUACAAAUUAGUGGAGCUCCAGGCUGAAGAAGUUUUAAAAAUCUUGAAGUUGUGAAGCCCAACUCAGCAAACACAAGAUACUUAUUAUGAUAGUCAGCAUAUAUGGGUUGUGAUUAUACUGUAAUGGUUGUAAUGGAGCUAAUAUUUAAACAUUUCCCUGUGUCCUCUAUCUGUUUGAAAUAUCAUUAUGUCUGAUCUGAUAAUUUGUGAAAUAGAAAUCUCACUCCAAUUCUGUAAA